rnacentral:rRNA from 1 species
ACGACUCCUCCGAUGUUACUUCUUUUUCGUGAUAGGUGCACUUUCCUCUUAGUCGGACCACGACCAGCGAGCUGUCUUGUCUAAGAUUUGUGGAAGGUAGCUUCUGCCCCGGUAGAAGUGUUAUAGCCACUCAUUUGGAGCGAGCGGAGCGUUGGAUAACUUGAUGCCUGCCCUUUGGGCUCGUACGUUGGCUUCUUUCUGCGGUGUUUCCGGCUUCACUGCCUCGGCAGGGGUGUUGGGGAUACUGUGGCUCGAGUCGGCCUCUGCGAUUGGCGUCUACAGUCAGUGGUUUCGAAGUAGGCAGUCCACCUGACCCGUCUUGAAACACGGACCAAGGAGUCUAACAUGUGCGCGAGUCAUUGGGCUCUACGAAACCUAAAGGCGCAGUGAAAGUGAAGAUUCAUUUUGGUGGAUUGAGGUAGGAUCCUGGGCUACGUGCUCAGGCGCACUACCGGCCCGUUCGACAUGUUUUCAUACGGGCGGAGCAAGAGCGUACACGUUGGGACCCGAAAGAUGGUGAACUAUGCUUGCGCAGGUCGAAGCCAGAGGAAACUCUGGUGGAGGACCGUAGCGAUUCUGACGUGCAAAUCGAUCGUCAAACGUGAGUAUAGGGGCGAAAGACUAAUCGAACCAUCUAGUAGCUGGUUCCCUCCGAAGUUUCCCUCAGGAUAGCUGGCACUCGGGAAAUGAAACAGUUUUAUCCGGUAAAGCGAAUGAUUAGAGGUAUUGGGACGAAACUGCUCUCAACCUAUUCUCAAACUUUAAAUGGGUAAGAUGCCCGACUCGCUCAAUUGGAGCCGGGCUUCCUUCUGAAUGUGAG